GUUUGGAGGCAAUAGAUAAGGAGGGAGUGUUGGCGUCGAGGUAAAUAUUGUUAGGCCCGCCGCCCUUCCUGCCUCCCGCCUGUGCCUGCCUCCCGCCGUGUUGGGGAAUGGCUGCACCUUUUUGUGAAUGUCUCGCUGGGAACGCCGGGAAGCCUGGCAUGGCGGGCAGGAGCAGGAACAGCAGGGACGGGGCCAGCAGGAGAAGGAGGAGCAGAGGUGAGAGGAGACUCCUGGCCGGCUGCGGCAGGAAAGGUGUGCACAGGUGUGUAAGUUUGUCCCCAGUUCUCACAGGUGUGUAAGUUGUCCCCGGUACUCACAGGUGUGUAAGUUGUCCCCAGUACUCACAGGUGUGUAAGUUGUCCCCGGUACUCACAGGUGUGUAAGUUGUCCCCGGUACUCACAGGUGUGUAAGUUGUCCCCAGUACUCACAGGUGUGUAAGUUGUCCCCAGUACUCACAGGUGUGUAAGUUGUCCCCAGUACUCACAGGUGUGUAAGUUGUCCCCAGUACUCACAGGUGUGUAAGUUGUCCCCAGUACUCACAGGUGUGUAAGUUGUCCCCAGUACUCACAGGUGUGUAAGUUGUCCCCAGUACUCACAGGUGUGUAAGUUGUCCCCAGUACUCACAGGUGUGUAAGUUGUCCCCAGUACUCACAGGUGUGUAAGUUGUCCCCGGUACUCACAGGUGUGUAAGUUGUCCCCAGUACUCACAGGUGUGUAAGUUGUCCCCAGUACUCACAGGUGUGUAAGUUGUCCCCAGUACUCACAGGUGUGUAAGCUGUCCCCAG